CCUGUCUAAAAUCAGUUAGGAUACAGUGCAUAAAAUCCAAUUCAAAGUAUUCUAAAAUGUUAUAUUAAAAAAAGUUCAUAAUAUUAAAAUGUAUGGUUAAAAUAUGUGCUGGAUAAAAAACUAUAAUAUGUAUAGUGUAUUAAAAGACAAUUUACAAUUCAAAGAUAAAUAUUCUAAAAAAAGGUCAAGUUCAUUAAGUUGAAGAGAUGUGUGAUUCAGAGAACGUGAGAGGAAUAAGCAGUGUAAAUGCAAGUGUAAUCUAACAUGUUAUCUGUUUUGUGUCAAUCAUUUCAUUCCUGUGUUCCUAUUGGUUGUUAUCUAACUCACGAGCCAAUCAAGCUAAAUUCAUGGGGUGAGAGGCGGGACUAGUGGCGCAGGUUAGUUUGGUGCGUACGUGAGCAUGCGAGAGACAGAGAGCCACGAUCGAUCAGCGAGCUAAGACGGAGGCAUCGUGUGGGGAGCAUUUAAGUUUUAUUGUGGAGGUCGACUACCCGUUGUCCUGAUAUAAACUUCUGUGUGACCUGCAAGAGGAGACGGACGUUGGAGAAGGAGAGAGAUUGAGACUGUCCAGACAGACGGCCCUGCUGUUUUUUAUUCUUCCUCGUGACUCUGCUGCUGAGCGCCAUCGCCCGUGUGUGUGCUGGAACUGUGACUGCCAUUGCCCUUAUGAGACUGCCAUCGUUUCCCCUUUCUAUCCCUACUAACAAACCAUUGGAUUCGUGAGUACUAACUGAAAACAGUUUGAAAGUGCACGUGCUUUUAUUUUUGCUCAGUUGAGUGAAGCGGCCAUUACAGUUUUUAGGCCCCACCGCACACAAGCCUCAUCCAUCAGGCCUGCAACGGGUUUGAGUUUAUUUUCUGGUGUGUUGUAUGUGAAUGUGUGUGGGCCCACCGGUACAACAAAAGGUAUUUUUGAAAAGUGAAAGAAGUGUUUUAUUUUCUUAUUUGAGGUAUUCAUUUUUAUUAUACAAGGGUACAAAGUGAAAGGCUUUUAUUUUGAAACCAAAAGGGAAGUAACCUGUGAAAGAGCUGUGAACUUUGUCUAUAACUUGUCUCUUUAUGCCCUAAUAACAUAUUUUCCUAUUUUACUUUUUUUGUCAAUUGUGUAAAUAAAUACCGGUGAGAGUUUAUAUUUAAAGUACAA